CAAGAGAUAAAAAAGGACCUAAAGGGAUAAGUAGAUAAGAAAUAAUUGACAUAGCUCUGUUUGAUUAGUAGGUCUAUGCCCUACUGAACCUUCACUGAACCUGUUUGUUAAAUCGUGUGUUUAACGUACAC